rfam:Ricinus communis cultivar Hale ctg_1100012356838, whole genome shotgun sequence.
GGGUGCGAUCAUACCAGCACUAAUGCACCGGAUCCCAUCAGAACUCCGAAAUUAAACGUGCUUGGGCGAGAGUAAUACUAAGAUCGGUAACCUCUUAGGAAGUCCUCGUGUUGCACCCC